AGAAGAAGCAAGCAACAUCUGUGAAUUGCACGGAUGAGCCGAAGGGGAGAAUCCAGAAAUCUCCGAAAAGCGUGAGAGUUUGAACUUUGAAGUCUCCGUCGUUGCUCCUAAAGGGCGGUGUGAAUCAAGAUCGUUCCGAUGGACCUGACCACUUCAUCUUCUCCGCCCUCGUCGACUUCAAACUUCCGAUGCAAUAUGAACUGAAGCUCAGACAUUUUUGGUGAUGAAAGAAGUAUGAAUGUGCGUAAGCAGCCCCUAUCUUUCAGAUUUUGUCUAUGGAGAAGUCAUGCUGCCAAGUACCAACAACAGAGUCAACACUUCAUGUAUUAUAAUUUCUUUUUUCCUCUCAUUUUCUUUUUUUUUCUUUCAAAACAUUAUUUGAACUUGCAUGAAAACGGUUUUCUAAAUCAUUUUUUGAGAAAAAGAAACAUUUUUAAAAAUCUGUUAUUCUUUUCCUUUUUUUUCUUUUUUGACUAAGACAAAAGAUUUUUCAAGGUUUUCAGAGAAAAGAAAUAUAGAAACUAGAUUGAUUAUGAAAACUUAUGUGUAAAUUUGUGACAAACACGUAGAAUAUACAUGUCUUUUAGAUCGUUAGAGAUGCUAUGUUUCAUUUGAUUUAACAUUAUGAUCACUAAGUUAAUUCUUUUCCUUUUUUUCUUUUUUUUUGACUAAGACAAAAGAUUUUUCAAGGUUUUCAGGGAAAAAAAAUAUAGAAACUAGAUUGAUUAUGAAAACUUAUGUGUAAAUUUGUGACAAACACGUAGAAUGUACAUGUCUUUUAGAUCGUUAGAGAUGCUAUGUUUCAUUUGAUUUAACAUUAUGAUCACUAAAAUAAUUUUAGUCAAUUUAGUAAAUAUAAAAAGUUUCCCUUUUGUUUUGUUUUUGAUUUAAAACAUGACUUUUUAAGUUUUUUAGGAAAUAACUAGAUUGAUCAUUAAAACUUAUGUGUAAAUUUGUGACAAACAAAAUAGAAUAUACAUGUCUUUGAGAUC